CUGUUAUACCACACUGACGGAAAAAAAAUAUCGUAAUAUUAACAAUCAUUUAAACAGAACAACCACAUGAAUAUUUUACGAACACUAAGAGUGAAACCUUAGGUUUCAAAACAAAUUGCUUUAACAGGCAAAAAUUCACACAGUCAUACACACACACGCAUUUAGAAACUAUCUCCUAAAUUGUUUUUCAUUCUCUUUGAGUUCCUGCUUUGAAAGUAGAAUGAAAUUUAGCAAUAUGCAUUAUAUUCUAUGAAUCAAUUUAGCCAAAUUUACCCUAAACAGUUUGUCUGCAUUGUUUUGAAAACACAUAACACCAUUUUCAACAGCUACAACCUCUUUUCGUUAUGUACCAUGUUCAGAUUCCUGCUUUUGCUCUUUGUUGUGGCCGUAAGCACAAUGUUCUUUUGGCUUCAUUUCUGUACACUUAUGUAACAAACACAGUAAUGUGGUAUUUGAGGAUGUGGAUUCACCCCCUUGGAUAUGUUGUCUCCGUAACUGUUCUAUAUCUUCGCAUUACUGUAUCGUUUUCCUGGACAGAUGGUAAAUUCCUGAAGAUACAAAAAGUGAAGUCCUAAAACUUUGACGUGUUUCCUGUAGUUUAUUCAGCUUGAAAGAAUUUGUGGCCAAUUUAGCUUUGCAGUCCAGCGCCCUGAGUUGCAAUCUGCUGUGUUUUACUGAGGUGAGCUCCAGGUGUUUAAGGGGUGUAAUUGUUUUUCUUUAGCAUACAAUAUUACUAUUUUUUUCUAUAAUUUUUUGGAGGGGGCAUACAUUAUAUAUGAAAAAGAAUCAUUUUGUUAUAUUUUUGUGACAUUGUUUAUUUGUGUUGAUUUUAAUAUUCCCAUAUCUGAAACAGACUCUUUUCAGAAAUGCAUAAUCAUGCAAAGCAUGCUGAUUUGCUCCUGACCAGUUUUCAUACGCGACGAGAGGAUCUUUUCAGAAUUCUGGAACUACAUUUGAAUCUUGUCAGGAAUAAAUGAACAACCUCAACUGAAUACUUUAGUCUC
rnacentral:lncRNA from 1 species